AUUGAACGCUGGCGGCAUGCCUUACACAUGCAAGUCGAACGGUAACAGGUCUUCGGAUGCUGACGAGUGGCGAACGGGUGAGUAAUACAUCGGAACGUGCCUAGUAGUGGGGGAUAACUACUCGAAAGAGUGGCUAAUACCGCAUGAGAUCUACGGAUGAAAGCAGGGGAUCGCAAGACCUUGUGCUACUAGAGCGGCCGAUGGCAGAUUAGGUAGUUGGUGGGAUAAAAGCUUACCAAGCCGACGAUCUGUAGCUGGUCCGAGAGGACGAUCAGCCACACUGGGACUGAGACACGGCCCAGACUCCUACGGGAGGCAGCAGUGGGGAAUUUUGGACAAUGGGCGCAAGCCUGAUCCAGCAAUGCCGCGUGCAGGAUGAAGGCCUUCGGGUUGUAAACUGCUUUUGUACGGAACGAAAAGCCCUGGGUUAAUACCUUGGGGUCAUGACGGUACCGUAAGAAUAAGCACCGGCUAACUACGUGCCAGCCGCCGCAGUAAUAC
rnacentral:rRNA from 1 species